GCUAGAAGACAGAUAUUGCUGAAAGAAGUGACUCCUACUCUCAAUCAAGCUUAUGCUAUGCUCAUAGAGGAUGAAAUCCAACAUUCAACAUGUAUGAUGACUAUGAAUGAUAGAUCAGAACCACUUGCUAUGCAAGUGAAUCGAAAUUAUGUCUUUGGAUAAAGCAACUCUAACUAUAGAGGUAGAAAGUGUGAUUAUUUCCAUCUAUUGGGUCAUACCAAGAAAACUUGAUAUAAGUUGGUAGGGUAUCCAAAUGACUGGAAGAACAGGAAGAAACAAGGCUACAACUCUAAUUUCAGAUCACAGUAUACUGGCAGUAACAACUUUGUAAACACUGAUCACAGGUCUAUUUCUCAGGCUUCAACUAUGGUAGUUGGUCAAGUUAAUGCUGAUAGUUCUAGUCAUGAAGUGACUCACACACCAAAGGCCAAGCCUCACACAUUCACUGAGGAAGAGUAUACUCAGAUUAUAACUAUAUUGAACAAAGACACAACAGAUAUGAAACAAGUCAAUACGAUAGGUAUUACUAAUUGUUUCUUGUCCAAAGCAUGUUCUGACAGUUGGAUUGUAGACUCAGGUGCUACACAUCAUGUGUCUGCACAUUGACACUUGUUUAAAGGAGGUACCAGAUUAGACUCCAAGCAUGUGGAUAAGUUGCACCUUUCAACAGGUGAUGAAGUAACAAUCUCACACACAGGAGAAACUCACAUUUUUGCAGAUGAUGUGAUAAAAAAUGUUCUACAUGUUUCAGACUUCAAACUCAAUUUACUGUCUGUUGCCAAGAUAACCAAGGAACUUUCAUGUUUUCUAUCCUUUUAUCCUAAUUUUUGUAUCCUUCGGGACCUCUUCAAUGGCAAGGUGAAGGGGAUUGGUAGACAAGAGAGUGAACUAUAUGUUCUUAAGGGUGAUAAUGAGUCAAGAUCAAAAGCCAAUAGAUUUAUUGCAGAAGUCUCCACUUCCAGUUACAUCUUAUGGCACCAAAGACUUGGACACCCUGCUGCUCAGGUUCUCAAGUGUUUAGACAUUAUGAAGAAUCCUAGUGAUGCAAAUAUGUUGAAUAAAUGUUUUAUGUGUCCACUAGCUAAACAGACAAGAUUGCCAUUCCCUUUAAGUGCUACUAGAUGCUCUACAUGUUUUGAACUUGUACACAUGGAUUUGUGGGGUCCAUAUAAUACUUCUACUUUUGACAACAAGUAUUACUUAUUGACUAUGGUAGAUGACCAUAGUAGAUACACUUGGGUACACCUGUUUCAGUUAAAGUAUGAGGACAUAGUGGCCAUUAAGACAUUUAUUUCCAUGAUUAAAACUCAGUUUGGCAUAAUGGAAAAAAUCAUUAGAUCUAAUAAUGGCACUGAAUUUAUCAACUCUCAAUGUAAGACACUGUUCCAGUCCCUGGGCAUACUACAUCAGACCAACUGUCCUCAUACUCCUCAAUAGAAUGGAGUUGUGCAGAGGAAGCACAGACACAUAUUAAACAUAGCUAGAGCCCUUAAUUUUCAGUCUCACUUGCCCAUUAAGUAUUGGGGACUAUGUGUAAAGGCUGAAGUAUAUCUAAUGAACAGGUUACCAUCUUCUAUUCUAAGUGGUAAGAGCUCAUUUCAGUUGAUGUUUUCCAAGGAUCCCAAGUUAUCACAUCUCAGGGUAUUUGGAUGCUUGUGUUGUGUUACUAUCCUCCCAAGAGGUGAUAAGUUCACAGAAAGGGCGAAACCUGCAGUUUUGAUGGGAUAUUCAGAAUCUCAGAAGGAGUAUUUACUGUUGGAUAUCACCUCAAAGAAACUAUUAGUUAGUAGAGAUGUUGUGUUUCAUGAAGAAGCAUUUCCUUUUGCUUCCUCACCAGCACAAAAUACACAAGCUUCCUCAUCUGGAGAAAAUAUUACUGAAUUCUUGAUUCUUACAGAUGAAGAAACAUUUCAUGAAACAAAUAUUGAGAGUGUUACUGAAGGAGCUCCAAUUGAGGAGGAUGACAUUUCUGAUGAUGAAGUUCCUGGUGUAGCUUCACCUGGCACCACUCAUGAAGAAACAUGUCAAGAUAACUGUUCCCUUCCUCAACCCUCUUUUAGUAGACCUACGAGAACAAGUAGACCACUAGUGUGGAUGCAUGAUUAUGUUGAUACUUCAAGAAAUCAGAGAUGCAAAAAUCCAUUAGCCAGCAGCUUGUCUUAUAACAAUCUGAGUCCUACUUAUUAGUGUUAUUUAUCCAAAUUCUCCACUUUGACUGAGCCUCAGCAUUAUAAACAGGCUGUAAAAGAUAAAAGGUAGGUAAAAGCUAUGAAAUCAGAGGUUCAAGCCUUGGAAGCUAACAAGACAUGGGUCAUUGUUGAUCUACCUAAAGGGAAGAAUACUAUUGGUUCCAAAUGGAUAUACAAAAUCAAAUAUCUUGCCAAUGGUGAAGUAGAGAGGUUCAAAGCAAGGUUAGUGGCCAAAGGAUAUAGCCAACAAGAAGGGUUACAGUCAGAUAUAUGAUUGCACUAGUUGCAUCUAAAGGUUGGAAUAUUCAUCAAAUAGAUAUGCAUAAUGCAUUCCUCCAAGGGGAUCUUGAGGAGGAAGUUUACAUGGAAAUGCCUGAAGGAUUUAGAAGACAGGGGGAGCACAAGGUGUGUAAGUUGAUCAAAUCCUUGUAUGGUCUUAAGCAAGCCUCCAAGAAGUGGAAUAUUAAGCUUACUCGUGCCUUACUUGAUGCUGGUUUUACUCAAAGUUCACAUGAUUGUUCCCUAUUCACCCUGCAUCAAGGUAAUGAUACUGUUAUAGUUCUUGUUUAUGUUGUUGAUUUACUAAUCACUGGAAGUAGUGCCUCCUUGAUCAAUGCUACCAAAAUCAAGUUGCAUCAGCAAUUUAAGAUGAAAGACUUGGGGGAUCUCAAGUAUUCUUUGGGUAUUAAAGUUUAAAGAUCAACAUCAGGGAUCAUUCUGAACCAAAGGAAGUAUAUUCUAGAGUUGAUUGCUGAAAUAAGUCUUAGUGGUGCUAAGCCUGUUAUUACUCCCUUAGAUUCUAAUGCCAGGCUCACCUCUAUUGAGUAUGAACAAGCAACAGGUGCACAAGGUGAUGAACUGUUGUCUGACAUUUCCUCUUACCAAAGACUUGUUGGGAAGCUUAUGUAUGCUACUAUUACAAGGCCAGACAUUAACUUUGUUGUCCAGACUCUCAACCAAUUCAUGCAACAUCCCAAGAAGUCUCACUGGGAAGCAGCUAGCUACUAGGGUAGUCAGGUACCUAAAAAAUUCUGUUGGCCAAGGUGUCUGGUUAAAGGCUGAACCUGUUAAUACUUUGACUUGCUGGUGUGACUCUGAUUGGGCUGCUUGUCCAAACACCAUAAGAUCAGUUACUUGUUACGCUAUUCACUUUGGUGAAUCACUCAUAUUAUAGAAGUCCAAGAAGCAACACACUGUUUCCAGGAGUUCUGCUGAAGCUGAGUACAGAAGCAUGGCUUCAGCAGUUGCAGAACUCACUUGGCUGGUUGGAUUGUUUCAGGAACUUAAGGUCCCUAUCAACCUCCCUAUUUCAGUUUGUAAUGACAGUAAUUCAGCCAUUCAACUGGCCAACAACCCUGUGUUCCAUGAGAGAACCAAACACAUUGAGAUUGACUGUCAUUUCAUUAGGGACAAAAUCAAAGAUGGAUUGAUUAAGGCUCUACAUGUUCAGUAGACUGAUCAACUUGCCGAUUUGCUUACCAAGGGCCUAAGUCUUUCUCAACAUGCCCACUUAGUUAGCAAGCUUGGUGUGCUAAAUGUUCUGCACCCUGCAGCUUGAGGGGGAGUGUUUUGGAACAUACACGACUACCUGUUCCACUGAUGUGUAAUACCGAUAAGAGUAGGCAUUCAACUAGUUAGUAGCAUAUUGCUGAGUCAACUAUAUAAGUUGUUGGAGGUUGUUAGACAAUGAUUAGUGAGUGGCAAUGAGCUGUCAAAUUGAGUGUUCUAGAAGAAAGGUAGUUAUUAGAUAUUUUGUUGCCUAUAUAAGGCACAACAAUAUGAUUGUAACACAUAAGUUUUGAAGCAGUUAUAAUUUUGAUCUUUCUCCUCUUCUUAGCUCCAUCAAUGGAGUCUUAGCAAGUGUUUUCAAAGCCCUCAACUUAAAGAUUCAGCUUUUGAGAUUAAACAAUAUGUUGAAGAUAACACGGGAGAAGACAAGCUUCAGAUCCUUGGCCCUAAUAAUAUCCAGUUAUCUAAGACAGAUCCUGAGAACGUGAAAGGAAGGGAAGGAGAAGUUACUUUGGUAGAAUGAAGAAAAUGAAGGAGAAAUAGAGGAGGAAACAAAGAAAUCAUCAAACCCGUCCCUGCUUCCCCGAGCUCUUCCGACAUGCUCAGUUCACACCUCCUAGUUGGCGUGCCGCUGCUAUGCUUAGAACUUCUCUAUUUGAAACAUACAUGGGAUGAGCAAGAAGGAAGUCAAACAAAAGGUAAUAAAGUUUCUGAGAAAGUCCAAUGCAAUAAGAAGUGAAAAGAGCUUGAAUUGUGAUGCAGGGUUGUGUAAUUUACAUCACCAAGAAUCAGCCACCGAUAAGCAUUUCGAGAUGAGAGACUGCUGUUUUUAAUGAUCAACAGUAAAAGUUGUUCCUAAGAAUGCCACCUCAAACUUCUAGACAAAAUUGCUGCAUAUUUCCCUCCUGUUUCUUAGAAAAGAAGUUUUAUUUGAGUACCAUUAGGUAAAUGGCUAUAACCUACUCCGUUGAUAGAUUGCAAUUUGAAUAUCUUCUACAGGCUAAACAUGGCUAUCGGCCUCCUUCACUGAUGAGCACGCAUCUCCUGUUCCGUUGUAAAGAAUCCUCAAGGCCUCCAUUGCUUAUUCUCACAAUUUAAUGGCAAAGUUGAUGCCACAAGGCCAUUAUUAGAAGUAUUGAAUCUUUCCGGGAUGGCACCUUUAAGUCCAUUAACGAAGAGAAGUCUGUUAUCUAGCUGCAACUCAAUUAGAAAUGAAGCAACUUUUACUUGGAUACACAUCAUGGAAACUAUCACCCAGAGGGAUUGCAUCAUAAAGUCUAAUGCAGGAAGGUUCGGAUCUGAGAAUCUAUUGCUCGGAGUUAUUCAAGUGGUUAGAGUAGCGCAGUUAUAUAUCACCAUGCCAUCUGCUUAAAUCAUCCAAGAGGAAUCCGGUAUCCAUGUUAUGUCGAAUAAUACGUGGAGGAACUCUCGGUAUACCAAUAAAAGCGACUAUGUGCAUGAAUGAGCUUUUGAAAGUAUAAUUUUCGUUUGGAAUUUUGAACAUUAAUAGACCUUUUUAGCAGAAUGGUGAUACGUAUACAUUGGUUCAUGCUUUUGCUUUUGUUACAAUAGUACAGUAGUAUAGCAGUAAUUUUUUCUAAUCUUUGCAUUCAGCAUAGUAAUUGAGUUCAUAAUCACAUGUUUAUAG